CCUACAGAUCACCCAGAACACAAGGAUCACCUACACCCUACAGAUAAUCUACAGUCUACAGAUAUCUUUAAACCAGCAACCCAAACACACAGCCCAACAAAGAUGAAACUUUUUGUUUACCUCGCACUUCUCAUCAUCUGGUCUCUAGUUCUCAUUAAAGAAGGUUUUGCAAUGCCCCCCUGUAUAUUAGGGAAAGAGGCUUGUCUGACCUAUUUUCACUAUGACAAGGCGUGGUGUAAUAUUUGUCCAUUUUGAGUGACAACAUACACAAAUACAAAUGGACAGAGAUACAAGAGCAAUACAACUGGCUAAUUAACUUCUGAUUUGAGAAAUUCAUUAACAUUUUCUGAAAUAAAGAGCUGAAAGUAUUUUGAAAGGUUGUACUGUUAAAAUAAGUAUUCGGAUAUUUAAAGUUAAUGCAUGUGUGUACGUAUAUUAAUAUUUUUUUUCAGGGUGUUGUCAAACUAAUUUUAAGGUAGACACAUUUUUGUGGAACUCAAACUUUAGAUAAAAGUGUGAACCGAAGAAAAGCUCAUUCAAAAGUUAUUUUAAACAACAGAGAAACAGAUUACAUCAGUGAGUACAUAAUCAUCUUUUCCC